UACGUAGGGGCCUAGCGUUGUCCGGAUUUAUUGGGCGUAAAGAGCUCGUAGGCGGUUCGGUAAGUCAGGUGUGAAAUCUCCACGCUCAACGUGGAGGCGCCACCUGAAACUGCCGUGACUCGAGUGCGGUAGGGGAGACUGGAAUUCCUGGUGUAGCGGUGAAAUGCGCAGAUAUCAGGAGGAACACCGGUGGCGAAGGCGGGUCUCUGGGCCGUAACUGACGCUGAGGAGCGAAAGCGUGGGGAGCGAACAGG
rnacentral:rRNA from 1 species